AAUUUAACACUUUUUUCAAUUACUUUAAUUAUUUUUUAUAAGGAUGAUAAAUGAGAACAUCUGAGUGAAUGAAAGUGGACCAAAAUAUCAAAUAAUCGAAACCCAUUUACGGAGGAUUAAAUUAUAUUAUCAAAUCUCUCCUUUUUUUUGGCCGUUGGUUGGGUAAUUGAACGGCUGAGAUCAGAGAGUGAAACGAACUUGCUCGAACUCUCUUUCUCACGUGUGUUCAUGGGCCCAAAUCAACAGCCCAGGUGUGUUUCUGGUCCGGAGAGUGGAGGCGGCCUCGAAAGCAAGUAGAUAGCCCAAAGCCCAAUCUAAGAGGGCCCAUAGGCCCAGAUCGACGACCACAAGACAACCCGCCGUGCGGCCCGCCUGGCAGUUUGCUUUUGCUCCACCCACCACCACCGCUGCUUCCAAGUUCCAACCGCUCCCUCUCUCGUCGCUGAGCUCUCCUCCGGUGGGCGGCGCGGCGAUGGCGGGGGACCCGGCGGCGGCGGCAGCGGCGGUUGGGGCGAUGAGGCCGUGGAACUACGUGGUGACGGCGCACAAGCUGACGGUCGUCGCCCGCUCCUGCGUCGGCAACUUCACCGCGCCCGAUCACCUCGACCUCUCGAAAUUUACCCGUAUUGAGAUUGGAGUAUCUGCUUACUCAUCAGGGUCUUCAGGAAAAUCGGUAUGUAAUAUGCAGGUCAGGGAGAGAUGCUUCUGACCACAUUGGACGCCCUACAAACAAGGGACAGACAGAUGAACUCAGCAGGGACUAUAACAUAACCUGGAUGACUGCGGUUGAGAUGCUCGACGACUACGUUUAUAUUGGCGCGGACAAUUGCUAUAACCUGUUUACCGUGCUCAAGCGCCGUGUUGGGAGGCUUUUAGUCAUUGGGCAGUACCAUCUGGGGGACCUGGUGAACAGAUUCCAUCAAGGCCCCCUUGUGAUGCAAGAUCCAGGCUCAGAAGUAGACCAGAUUCCUGCCUUCAUCUUCGGUGAAAGCAGAAUAGACUCAACGCAAUAGAUUGGAUUGAUAUCGGUGCGGAGUACAUAUAGGCACGAAAUCUCCCUUAUCCACUCAGCCGGUUCAUAGAAACUGAACCGAGAGAGAUAAGGGGAAUCGGCAAAAUAGGGAAACAGAGAUAUACACGAGAUACAAUUCUAACAUUCGGCACGGCCAGUGGCGCCAUCGGUGUCAUUGCCUCUCUUCCACAUUA